rnacentral:tRNA from 1 species
GCCUUCGUGGUGCAAUGGUCAGCACGCUGGGCGCGUAUUCCAGAGGUCUGUGGUUCGAGUCCCGGCGAAGGCG